AUCCUUUUCUGGUUCAAAAGCAUGAUGACUGAGUGUUCACACAUCUGUCUGACAUGUGUCUGCCUUAAAUCUUAUUACACAUUUGGCACAUUUCCCAUCUGACA
ensembl:snoRNA